AUUGGACAAAACAGUAAGGCGCAGUUUUGCUCGGAAGAUUCCAACGCAGAGCAGAAAGACGUGACUUUGCUAAGAAUCGAUAUUUUUUUGAAAAUAAACAUGAUCGAUCAUACUAACCGGAAGCGCGGAUCUUUCAGGAUUUUUUUCUUAUUUUUUUCGUUGUUUUGGAUUAAAAUGUGGGAUGCGUCUUAAAGAGUGGACCCUUAUACGUUGCAAUGUAUUCUGGUGUUUCUUGGAUUCGUCCGAAAUGAUCAGAACCGUGAUAUCGAAGUGCAAAAGUCUACGUUCAACGUAGACAAUUAUGGCCCGUCAUUGGCCCAGAGUGUACGUUCACUGUAGACUCUAGGCCAAUCAGAGAGCCGAACCGUCUACGUCCACCUUCCGACUAACUGGUUGGAAAUAGAAUUGAUAAUUGGAAGGCUGUUUCCUUCAGGAGAAGAUGGAUCCAUUGCUGCCCAAGCUAAGCUUUUUUGACAUAAGUGUGCCAAAAAAUAGGCAACAAUGCCUUCUUAGGGCAACAAAGGAGGCCAAGGCACUGGCGAAUCGAAACACGUGCUUCAAAAAGACAACAGUCGAGGACCAAAAGACGGCUUGUGAGGAAGCUAAAAAGAGAUGUCGGCACUUCACCUCGACUCCAUCAGAGGAGCAGUAUCUCGGUCAGCUUCAUUUGACCUUUGGAAAAUACAAUGGCCAAAGCUUUAAAUGGCUGGUCGAAAAUGAUGUUGGCUACAUUAAGUAUAUCAUUGAUCUGCAUGUAAAAGAAUGCCAGCAUCUCAAAAAAUAAAACCAUUAAUGACCGGAGGGUGAAGGACCUCCUCCUGAGGUAUGUGCAGCUGUUCCCUCCGGUCUCCUGCUACCUCGAGGUCAACGUGGACAGGGCAAUUUAUGGGCAGGACCGCUUCAGGUCGUUCACUUUCCUCGAGAUGCGGCAGUGGUACAGCCUGCACAAGCUGGGACCGGCCAAGAGAGAAAAUGGCGCAGGAGGCGUACACCUCUACAAAGCAGUGGCUGGUGAUGAAGGAGAAGGACAUCACCACCAAGUCCCUGAAGUGCUUCAGGCGCUACAUUCUCGAUAGAGAGAAGCCUCCACCGGAUUCCAAUCUUCCUGCCGCCACUUCCAGCUCUUCAAGAAGAGAACCAGGAUCAGUCAG